UACGUAAGGGGCUAGCGUUGCUCGGAAUUACUGGGCGUAAAGGGCGUGUAGGCGGAUAAGCAAGUCGAAUGUAAAAAACCGCAGCUCAACUGCGGGUCUGCGUUCGAAACUGUUUAUCUUGAGUCUGGUGGAGGGUAAUGGAAUUCCCGGUGUAGCGGUGAAAUGCGUAGAUAUCGGGAAGAACACCGAAGGCUAAAGCAGUUAUCUAUGCCAAGACUGACGCUGAGGCGCGAAAGUAUGGGGAUCAAACAGG
rnacentral:rRNA from 1 species